GACGAACGCUGGCGGCGUGCUUAACACAUGCAAGUCGAACGAAGAGCGGCGGAAGCUUGCUUCUAUCAAUCUUAGUGGCGAACGGGCGAGUAACGCGUAAUCAACCUGCCCUUCAGAGGGGGACAACAGUUGGAAACGACUGCUAAUACCGCAUACGAUCUAACCUCGGCAUCGAGGAUAGAUGAAAGGUGGCCUCUACAUGUAAGCUAUCACUGAAGGAGGGGAUUGCGUCUGAUUAGCUAGUUGGAGGGGUAACGGCCCACCAAGGCGAUGAUCAGUAGCCGGUCUGAGAGGAUGAACGGCCACAUUGGGACUGAGACACGGCCCAGACUCCUACGGGAGGCAGCAGUGGGGAAUCUUCCGCAAUGGACGAAAGUCUGACGGAGCAACGCCGCGUGAGUGAUGACGGCCUUCGGGUUGUAAAGCUCUGUUAAUCGGGACGAAAGGCCUUCUUGCGAAUAGUGAGAAGGAUUGACGGUACCGGAAUAGAAAGCCACGGCUAACUACGUG
rnacentral:rRNA from 1 species